CCUACGGGAGGCAGCAGUGGGGAAUUUUGGACAAUGGGCGCAAGCCUGAUCCAGCCAUGCCGCGUGCGGGAAGAAGGCCUUCGGGUUGUAAAGCACUUUUGUUGGGGAAGAAAAGAUUCGGGUUAAUAACCUGGGUUCAUGACGGUACCCAAAGAAUAAGCACCGGCUAACUUCGUGCCAGCAGCCGCGGUAAUACGAAGGGUGCAAGCGUUACUCGGAAUUACUGGGCGUAAAGCGUGCGUAGGCGGUUUGUUAAGUCUGUCGUGAAAGCCCCGGGCUCAACCUGGGAAUGACGAUGGAUACUGGCAGGCUAGAGUACGGUAGAGGAUGGUGGAAUUCCCGGUGUAGCAGUGAAAUGCGUAGAGAUCGGGAGGAACAUCUAUGGCGAAGGCAGCCAUCUGGACCAGUACUGACGCUGAGGCACGAAAGCGUGGGGAGCAAACAGGAUUAGAUACCCUGGUAGUCCACGCCCUAAACGAUGCGAACUGGACGUUGGGCUCAAUUGAGAGCUCAGUGUCGAAGCUAACGCGUUAAGUUCGCCGCCUGGGGAGUACGGUCGCAAGACUGAAACUCAAAGGAAUUGACGG
rnacentral:rRNA from 1 species